rfam:Schistosoma mansoni strain Puerto Rico chromosome 2, complete genome
AACUUCCUAAAUCGGUGGCGAGAGUUCAUCAGACACCAACACACCAGGGCUGACGAGACUUUCAAGAUGAGUGAAGUA